rnacentral:rRNA from 1 species
UACGUAGGGUGCGAGCGUUGUCCGGAAUUAUUGGGCGUAAAGAGCUCGUAGGCGGUCUGUCGCGUCGGUCGUGAAAACCUGCAGCUUAACUGUGGGCUUGCGGUCGAUACGGGCAUGACUGGAGUUCGGCAGGGGAGACUGGAAUUCCUGGUGUAGCGGUGGAAUGCGCAGAUAUCAGGAGGAACACCGGUGGCGAAGGCGGGUCUCUGGGCAGUAACUGACGCUGAGGAGCGAAAGCGUGGGGAGCGAACAGG